GGUCUGGUUUAAUUGGAAAAUGUUUGUUUUGCGAACAAAAGAUUCUUAAGUUCAAUUCUUCAGCUAACCA
rnacentral:tRNA from 1 species